rnacentral:sRNA from 2 species
AAACCGAUCGACUUACAGAAUUCAUAGUAAGCUCCAGGGCUUUCACAGAGUUAUCCAAGAAAAAAUCUAAUGUAAUCAUAUCAAUUUAAAACGAACAUAUCAAGUCUCUCUCUCUCUCUCUCUGAUUUUUCUAUCUUAUCUCUAGUUUAUACACCAUUCAUAAGUAUUUCAUUGAAAAUGUCACUCACUUGUGACUUAUGAACAUAUGUAAUUAUCUUUUAAAAAUGUUUCAAAACAUCAAGUUAAAUCAUUGAUAUAUUUCAUAAUAUAGAAAAAAAAAAUUUCGAGGUUAGAUAUAAUCUGCAAGAAUCUCUGAAUAUUCAGAGUAUGAAUAGUGGUAUUUAUUUAUAUCUUCAUUAUGGCUGGUGUGG